GCAGUCGUGGCUGAGUGGUUAAGGCGAUGGACAAGAAAUCCAUUGGGGUCUCCCCGCACAGGUUCGAAUCCUGACGACUGUG
rnacentral:tRNA from 2 species